AACGAACGCUGGCGGCGUGGAUAAGACAUGCAAGUCGAACGAGAUAUCACUUGUAGCAAUACAAGUGGUGUCUAGUGGCGUAAGGGUGCGUAACACGUGGGCAACCUGCCGAGAAGUGGGGGAUAGCUCGCCGAAAGGCGAAUUAAUACCGCAUGUGGUUAGGGAAGACAUCUUUCCGACACCAAAGCCGGGGCAACCUGGCGCUUCUUGAUGGGCCCGCGGCCUAUCAGCUAGUUGGUGAGGUAACGGCUCACCAAGGCUAUGACGGGUAGCUGGUCUGAGAGGACGACCAGCCACACUGGAACUGAGACACGGUCCAGACACCUACGGGUGGCAGCAGUCGAGAAUUUUUCUCAAUGGGGAAACCCUGAAGGAGCGACGCCGCGUGGAGGAUGAAGGUCUUCGGGUCGUAAACGCUGUCGAGUGGGAAGAAUGUCCUGAUGGCGAAUC
rnacentral:rRNA from 1 species